rnacentral:rRNA from 1 species
UACGUAGGUGGCAAGCGUUGUCCGGAUUUACUGGGCGUAAAGAGCGCGCAGGCGGUCGUUCAAGUCGCGUGUGAAAGCCCCCGGCUCAACUGGGGAGGGUCACGCGAUACUGAUCGACUCGAAGGCAGGAGAGGGUAGUGGAAUUCCCGGUGUAGCAGUGAAAUGCGUAGAUAUCGGGAGGAACAUCCGUGGCGAAGGCGGCCACCUGGACCAACAUUGACGCUGAGGCACGAAAGCGUGGGGAGCAAACAGG